AAAAAAAAAAAAAAAAAAGGUGAUUAUUCUUUUUGAAUUACAAGAGUAGGAUUUGGUUGGUUUAGAAAUUAUAGAUUUUAUUGUUUGUUCAUUAGAAGUGGCCAUGGAGAUACGGAAAAGAGUGCCUUGGACCAUUUGCAACUUCAUGAAAUUGCAGCCUCUGGAUAUGCUUCCAAGCACAUGUUGAAAAACAAAAAAUUUGGCAGAAAUCUUUGAAGCAGCAAACCUUGGUAUGGUAUCUGGUUUGAGGUUUCUCAUGAGUUGCAAUGGGAUUGGGAUUGGGUUUGUCGUGGAAAAGUCAUCAAGUUAAAUUCAAUUUAUGUUGACAAAAUUUUACUCAGCUAACAAUUGCAAUUGGGGACUCAAGAGAAAUUUU
rnacentral:misc_RNA from 1 species